ensembl:lncRNA
AACGAAUUUGAAUGAGGAGCCUCAGCGCUUUCGGCGCCAUUUUCGAGUGAUGCCUGAUCUCAUCAAUCUAGCGGGAGAGACGGGAUAACCUGUCGGAGAGCGUAUUGCCACUAGGACUCAGACGAAAAAUUACUAAAAAAAUCGCCAAAAAUAACUUCGAGCAAAGGGCACUUGGCGGAGCUUCGCCAGGGUUGGCGCAGCCGGUUUUGACCUUUAGGAGAGAGCCAAUUCUGGAGAACAACCUAACUUCUUUGAUUGAACAUUCACAUAAUGCAUUGGAACAUGAUAGGAGGUUAAGGUGAAUAACAACAAAAUGAAGACCAUAUAAAACAAGCCCCCUACUUAGCCCUGCAAUUCUUACCUUGUAAGUAUUAACUCACAGUCCCCCUGCCAUUGCUGUAAAAAGUUAGUUUGGUGUCAUAUUUUGCUUUAUUUCUGAAUUUUUUUUCUACCAUCCUAGAAUGACAACUUUCUAACCUCCCCUGACCCCCAACACAUUGAAGUUCGAUGUUAAUUUAGUCCAUUUUAGAGCAAAAAUAGUGUCAUUGCCUUGGGUAAGUUUUCUGUUUUGGAAAGGAUUUUACAGCCAGGCCCUAUCAUCUCUAAAUCUGAGAAUCAUAAUUUUAAACCCUUUUCCUUCAAAGGAAUUUACAAAUAAGUAGUGGUCAUUUUUAUUAUCAUCAUUAUUCAGGUUUAUUGACAGUUAUUUUAUGGUUUUAUAAAGUGGAAGUGUCCUCUCCACUGGAGAAAUAGUUUUUUUCAUUUAUCUGUUUUUACAUUUUACUAGAUUACACUUCUGACUUCUUUGUGACGUGCUUAAAAUUUAGCUGUUAAACUUCAAGAGGUGGGAAAAACAGGAAGGCAAUCCCUUUUCCUUCCUUUUAUAUAUACACAUGCACACCUCUUAGAAUAAGAAACAUUUUUACCCUGAUUCAUUUUACUUUUGAGAAACUUGUAAAUGCUAAGGGAAUAAUUCUAAUAGGUUAGCUGAAAUUAAUAUCAUACCCCUAGAAAAACUGUCAAAAAGAAGGUUAUGGUAAAUACACAAGAUACUUAUUUCCCUAAAUUUGAGACCCUAAAAUCAGUUACCAAAAAGAUUCAUUUCCAUGUAUUCCUUCAGCUAAUUUUACAUCUCUAAAUAAAAGAAACUCAACUGCUACUGUUUCUGUUCUUGAUAUUGAGGGAUGGCCCUGUUUAAAUGAAAACUAGUGCUUCAGGUGCUUCUCUUACAUUACCUCAUACCAUUGCAUUAGUGACCCAGUAAUAAUAUGUAUUAUUAUUAAAUAAUGUGUAUGUGUCAAGGAGUGACUUUAUGAUCAUAGAUCAGCCAUUGAGCUCAAUUAAGUAGUUUUCAGGGUGUGAAUCAAUUAAAUAUUGAAAAUUUGUAGUAAUGAGCCAGUUUGAAGAAUAGUAACCAAAUGCCACUGAUCACUUCUUUUUAUAAUUUUUUCCCUUUAUAUUUUUGUUGCUGGAAAACUGGAAUGGAAACAUUUGCAAAUCCCCAAAGAAUCCUAUAUAAUCCAGGCUUGGCUUUCUUAAUUGGUCCCUUGGAAGCCAGCUCAGCUUUUCUUCAACUUAAAUCUCAGAAAAAGAAAUCUUUUCAGUUGGUAUUGCAGUCUUACUGUAGACUGGAGGGCAGUCCACUUUUCAAAAAGAAAUAGGUAUCAUUAAUUUCCAACAGAUUUAUCAGUACAGAUAACAUCACAUUCUUAAGCUCAUUUCAUCUCCUUUAUAAAUUUCUAAGCAAGCAGCCUUGCUUGGAUACUCUCCAGCAUCUUUUAAAAUAGGUCAUUUGUGGUAUUUCAUAGUUGAAAUGCUUACUCUUGUCUCUUCUAUGUAAUAUGCCUGGAGUUACUUUUAAUCUUAGAUACUAGAAUAGCGUUGUUUCCAAUUAAACAAUACCCAGAAGAAUAGGCACAUAGUGACAGUGGUCAUUGAUUCUUCAUGAUUGUGUGUGUAUUCCGUCUUUCUCUCUUUUAUGUUUAUUUUACACUAUUGUUUCUUUCUUUUUUUAAUAUUUAUUUAUUUGUUUGUUUAUUUGGCUGUGUCGGGUCUUAGUUGCGGCACACAGGAUCUUCGUUGAGGCAUGCGGGAUCUUUCAUUGCGAUGCAUGGGCUCUUCGUUAUGGCGCGUGGGCUUCUCUCUAGUUGUGAUGUGCAGGUUUUCUCUUUAGUUGUGGCACUCAGGCUCCAGAGUAUGUGGGCUCUGUAGUUUUGCGGCACACAGGCUCUCUAGUUGAGACCCGCAAGCUCAGUAGUUGUGGCACACGGGCUUAGUUGCCCCACGGCAUGUGGGAUCUUAGUUCCCCGACCAGGGAUCGAACCUGCGCCCCCUGCAUUGGAAGAUGGAUUCUUUUACCACUGGACCACCAGGGAAGUCCCCAUUGUUUUUUUAAGAGAGGGAUUUUUUUGAACUAUUCACUUGUGGAAUAUGGAUAUUCCGGAAAUUGUGGAGUAUUAGUGUUCCAUAUGUUUGAUACUGUAAAAAUUAAAUAAUGAUAGUGUUUUUGAUUCAUUUUUACAAAUUGAGUAGAGAUGAAAUAUUUUUCAAAUUUGAUUUUCAAUUUUAAACUCUUAAACUUUUGUUGCUUAACAUAAAACAUUUAGAAAUAGUCAUACUUCUUCCUACUUUUUCUUUUUUGAGCUAUGUUUUUUGAUUUUUAUAUAUUUCUGUUAUGUGAAUUUAAAGUAAAUUAAUGUAUCAUUUGGUGCUAAAUAAAAUAACAUCUUU